rnacentral:tRNA from 7 species
GGAUGUAGCGCAGUUUGGUAGCGCGCCUGCUUUGGGAGCAGGAUGUCGCAGGUUCGAAUCCUGUCAUCC